rnacentral:rRNA from 1 species
UGCUAUACAUGCAGUCGAGCGGACAGAAGGGAGCUUGCUCCCGGAUGUUAGCGGCGGACGGGUGAGUAACACGUGGGUAACCUGCCUGUAAGACUGGGAUAACUCCGGGAAACCGGAGCUAAUACCGGAUAGUUCCUUGAACCGCAUGGUUCAAGGAUGAAAGACGGUUUCGGCUGUCACUUACAGAUGGACCCGCGGCGCAUUAGCUAGUUGGUGGGGUAAUGGCUCACCAAGGCGACGAUGCGUAGCCGACCUGAGAGGGUGAUCGGCCACACUGGGACUGAGACACGGCCCAGACUCCUACGGGAGGCAGCAGUAGGGAAUCUUCCGCAAUGGACGAAAGUCUGACGGAGCAACGCCGCGUGAGUGAUGAAGGUUUUCGGAUCGUAAAGCUCUGUUGUUAGGGAAGAACAAGUGCGAGAGUAACUGCUCGCACCUUGACGGUACCUAACCAGAAAGCCACGGCUAACUACGUGCCAGCAGCCGCGGUAAUACGUAGGUGGCAAGCGUUGUCCGGAAUUAUUGGGCGUAAAGGGCUCGCAGGCGGUUUCUUAAGUCUGAUGUGAAAGCCCCCGGCUCAACCGGGGAGGGUCAUUGGAAACUGGGAAACUUGAGUGCAGAAGAGGAGAGUGGAAUUCCACGUGUAGCGGUGAAAUGCGUAGAGAUGUGGAGGAACACCAGUGGCGAAGGCGACUCUCUGGUCUGUAACUGACGCUGAGGAGCGAAAGCGUGGGGAGCGAACAGGAUUAGAUACCCUGGUAGUCCACGCCGUAAACGAUGAGUGCUAAGUGUUAGGGGGUUUCCGCCCCUUAGUGCUGCAGCUAACGCAUUAAGCACUCCGCCUGGGGAGUACGGUCGCAAGACUGAAACUCAAAGGAAUUGACGGGGGCCCGCACAAGCGGUGGAGCAUGUGGUUUAAUUCGAAGCAACGCGAAGAACCUUACCAGGUCUUGACAUCCUCUGACAACCCUAGAGAUAGGGCUUUCCCUUCGGGGACAGAGUGACAGGUGGUGCAUGGUUGUCGUCAGCUCGUGUCGUGAGAUGUUGGGUUAAGUCCCGCAACGAGCGCAACCCUUGAUCUUAGUUGCCAGCAUUCAGUUGGGCACUCUAAGGUGACUGCCGGUGACAAACCGGAGGAAAGUGGGGAUGACGUCAAAUCAUCAUGCCCCUUAUGACCUGGGGCUACCACC